AUGAGGGCUAGAGGGUGGUCUUGGAGCAAGAAAAGUGUUGAGUCCAGGCGCAUUAUGGUACGACUGAGACUGAGUUGGGCAGGAGCAAGCGGUUGGAUUGGCCUGACAGGGAAGUUUUUCCUAUGCAUUACCUCUGCCAAGAAAGGCCACUGA
rnacentral:rRNA from 1 species